CACGUAGGCACCAAGCGUUGUCCGGAUUUAUUGGGCGUAAAGAGCUCGUAGGCGGUUCAGUAAGUCGGGUGUGAAAACUUUGGGCUUAACCCAAAGCGUGCAUCCGAUACUGCUGUGACUUGAGUUCGGGUAGGGGAGUGGGGAAUUCCUAGUGUAGCGGUGAAAUGCGCAGAUAUUAGGAGGAACACCAAUAGCGAAGGCAGCUCGCUGGGACG
rnacentral:rRNA from 1 species